rnacentral:rRNA from 1 species
UACGUAGGGGGCAAGCGUUAUCCGGAUUUACUGGGUGUAAAGGGAGCGUAGACGGCGCGGCAAGUCUGAAGUGAAAGGCAGGGGCUUAACCCCUGAACUGCUUUGGAAACUGCCAUGCUAGAGUGCUGGAGAGGUAAGUGGAAUUCCUAGUGUAGCGGUGAAAUGCGUAGAUAUUAGGAGGAACACCAGUGGCGAAGGCGGCUUACUGGACAGUAACUGACGUUGAGGCUCGAAAGCGUGGGGAGCAA